CCUCUAGAGAUUUUCGCAAUGCCCGAAAGGGUGACGAAGCGACGCCGCGUGGAUGAAGAAGGCCUUCGGGUUGUAAAAUCCUGUCAGGAGUUAAGAAAUGUAGGUGCGAUAAUAUCGUGCCUAUUUGACAAAGGCUCCAAAGGAAGCCACGGCUAACUCUGUGCCAGCAGCCGCGGUAAUACAGAGGUGGCAAGCGUUGUUCGGAAUUAUUGGGCGUAAAGAGCACGUAGGUGGAUUUGUUAGUCAGAUGUGAAAGCCUUUCGUUCAACGGAAGAAUUGCAUCUGAAACUACAAACCUUGAGUAUAGGAGGGGAGAGUGGAGCUUCUGGUGGAGCGGUGAAAUGCGUAGAUAUCAGAAGGAACGCCGGCGGCGAAAGCGACUCUCUGGCCUAUAACUGACACUGAGUGUGCGAAAGCUAGGGGAGCAAACGGGAUUAGAUACCCCGGUAGUCCUAGCCGUAACGAUGGGCACUAAGUAGAGGGGUUUU
rnacentral:rRNA from 1 species